rnacentral:lncRNA from 12 species
GAGGCAUGCUGGGAGGAAAAAUAAGGAAAUGACAUCCAAAAGCAUUCUGAUGGGAGCCACAAAUCAAAACAGACUACAGGAUUCAUUAGGAGGAGUGAAAAAAAAAGAGUACCAAGUAUGCAAGGUGUUUUCACUCAACACAGAUAAUCAUGGAAGAGGAGAGAAGGUAAGAAACUGAAGUGCUACUUGGUGAGAAGUUCAGACGCUGAACACACACAGUGUACUCUGUCAGGAUAAACUACAUAGUGGCAAUAUUUUGAAGGCAUAUACUGAACCAGUCUCUAAACUUUAGGGAAUACCAGGGUAUAUACACCACUCAGAAGGAAUGAGAGGAUUUUCUUCCUCAACUUCAAAAAUACACAAAAGUAUCUGGGCUACCAAGACUGAUACACUACUGACCUAAACACCUGCCUUAUUUCUUUAAAUGUGCCUAUCUUCCUUCACAUUCCUAAGGUAAGCUGUGCCCCCACCAGCUGACCGACACCCUGCAAGCUCUUUGUGAUACAGAUACCCUUUCUGAUGGUUUACUUUCAAAGAGUCACUACUAUGUGUUUCAUUCUGAUCAGGAUGUGAAUUAUACUUUAAUAAUAGAGGAUAUCUUUGAAAUAUUCUUGACCAGAACACAAU